GACGAACGCUGGCGGCGUGCCUAAUACAUGCAAGUAGAACGCACAGUUUAUACCGUAGCUUGCUACACCAUAAACUGUGAGUUGCGAACGGGUGAGUAACGCGUAGGUAACCUGCCUGGUAGCGGGGGAUAACUAUUGGAAACGAUAGCUAAUACCGCAUAAUAUUGAUUAUUGCAUGAUAAUUGAUUGAAAGAUGCUAUUGCAUCACUACCAGAUGGACCUGCGUUGUAUUAGCUAGUAGGUGAGGUAACGGCUCACCUAGGCGACGAUACAUAGCCGACCUGAGAGGGUGAUCGGCCACACUGGGACUGAGACACGGCCCAGACUCCUACGGGAAGCAGCAGUAGGGAAUCUUCGGCAAUGGACGAAAGUCUGACCGAGCAACGCCGCGUGAGUGAAGAAGGUUUUCGGAUCGUAAAGCUCUGUUGUAAGAGAAGAACGGGUGUGAGAGUGGAAAGUUCACACUGUGACGGUAUCUUACCAGAAAAGGACGGCUAACUACGUG
rnacentral:rRNA from 1 species